rnacentral:rRNA from 1 species
GAUGAACGCUGGCGGCGUGCCUAAUACAUGCAAGUCGAGCGAACAGACGAGGAGCUUGCUCCUCUGACGUUAGCGGCGGACGGGUGAGUAACACGUGGAUAACCUACCUAUAAGACUGGGAUAACUUCGGGAAACCGGAGCUAAUACCGGAUAAUAUAUUGAACCGCAUGGUUCAAUAGUGAAAGACGGUUUUGCUGUCACUUAUAGAUGGAUCCGCGCCGCAUUAGCUAGUUGGUAAGGUAACGGCUUACCAAGGCAACGAUGCGUAGCCGACCUGAGAGGGUGAUCGGCCACACUGGAACUGAGACACGGUCCAGACUCCUACGGGAGGCAGCAGUGGGGAAUCUUCCGCAAUGGGCGAAAGCCUGACGGAGCAACGCCGCGUGAGUGAAGAAGGUCUUCGGGUCGUAAAACACUGUUAUUCGGGAAGAACAAAUGUGUAAGUAACUAUGCACGUCAUGACGGUACCUAAUCAGAAAGCCACGGCUAACUACGUG